AGGCUUGGGGGAAGAAAAAAAGAAAACAGAGCAAAAAGAAAUCAAACGAAAAAAAGAGAGAGGGCUAAGAAAAAACAGAGGAGGCUUUCGGCUGAGAAAAAAAAAACAGAGCAAGGAGAGGAGAAAAAACUAGAGGAGUGGCGGAUAAGGAAGAACAGAGGACGGAUAAGGAAGAACAGAGGAAAAAGAGAGCGAAAGGAAAGGGGGAAAAUCUGGAAAAUUGAGGGAGAGUUACGGGGAGCCAGAGAGUAGACGGAAGAAAAAAUUGGAAAAAAAGGGGGAAGGAAAAAGGGAAAAGCUUCGGCAAAGAAACAGAGCAAAGGAAAACCAAGAAUCAAAGGAAUCAGCAAGGAAUUGUGGCUUGUUGCAGGCUCAUCGAAUCCACCACCAUCACCUGCGCAAUUUCACCAAGCAAGAGCACUCAAACUGUUGACAAAUGAGUUGGGGAAUCACCUGCUUAGCAUUUGGUGCUGAUCAAAAAUAGAUAUUCAGACUUGCUGCAAACUCAGUGUCAUACUUUGGCCACAAAGACCAAUUCCUCAUAUGCUGAAUUCAGAAAAGAGAACUCAUGCUACUGGUAUGAUCGGCUGAUUCCAAUAUUGCUUGGAAAACACGCUAUAGGGAGCCGUGCCCAAUCUGCAAGCGAGAUAGUUCCACCAGAACCAUCUCGUUGUCAAAGGGCCAACACUUCUGCUAGGAGUCGGAAGGAAAAAGCUUCACCCGUGGAUAGCAUGCCCAAUUUUGAUACAUGUAACAUAGGGGUUAGCAAUCAUUUUAAUUAGUUUGUUAGUGUGUAUUUCCCUACCCAACUUUGGUGGAGUGGGUUUUGUCAGGACUGAUUAUAAGGUGAUUUUUUUAUUUAUAGGAAUUUGUAUCUUAGUUAGUUUUGCUUUUCUUACGAAUUUUCAUUACAGGAAAUGCAUAUGCUUUCUGAUGGGCUUUGU